CCAAAACCUUAAAUUGCAUUUGGUUCGGUUAUAAGUAAGAACUGCUAGUUUUAGGGAUAGGUAUAAGUUUAGGUAUAAACAGGAAUUAGACCAAUUUUACCACUACAACAGAAUUAGGUUAUAGGGAUACAUGUUUGGGACACUUUUGAGUAAGUGUCUCAUUUAUCCUAAAACUUAAAAAAACAUCUACUAAUGCCUAAAU
rnacentral:lncRNA from 1 species